UUCUCCUAGGCCUAGCUGUGUAAAAUCCAAUUUUAGCACAAACCCUGUAAAACCAGUUUAGCAAGAACUCUUCCGCAUUCUAGAUCAUUCCCAGGUGAUGUCUGAUCACCCUGGCCUGUCUUCAGCAAGAAUCCUGUUAGGGUUUAGCCAGAAUCUUCCUUACUCUGGAUGUUAUUUUUUAGUAAUUUCACAUCCACUGAAUGGGAUGAAAGCAAACCCACCUUGCUCCUUGGCUAUACUUGCCCUUGCUGUUUCCCUACUGUCUCCCCCUCACUGAGUUGAACCCAGUCUCUCUCCCCAACUGCAACAUCACGUUGCUGUGGUCCCUAUAUCUAUUGAGAUGAUCCUGAAUAACGUCUACCUUACCAUGCUUUAACAAGUAUCACUGAGUAAUUUUUUAUUUAACAGUUAUGGUGCUGUGACUCCGAUAGGAUCAGAUUCAUCAUUGGACCCCCAGACCUCUCACCCAGGACCCCAAGUGUGCACCUUUGAAGCCAUUGUCUUCACUCCUGACUGAUAGAUCGGGGAUCCAAUGGUGAGUCAGACUAAUGAACCAUUGCUCCGGACAAACAUCCGUUGAAGCUGGAUUCUGAACACAAGCAGUUUGCUCUGUGACUGCCAUUUGAAGUGGCUACUUCAAUGGUUGGUUGAUAAUAACUUUCAACAUUCUGUGAAUGUAAGCUGUGCACACCCUGAAUGGCUAGCAGGGCAAAGCAUCCUGAAUGUGGAUCUGAAAGAUUUUGUCUGUGAUGAUUUCCUCAAGCCACAGAUAAGGACACAUCCUGAAACCAUAAUUGCUCUAAGAGGCAUGAAUGUGACUCUGACGUGCACUGCAGUGAGCAGCAGUGAUUCACCUAUGUCCACUGUGUGGCGCAAAGACAGUGAAAUCCUGUAUGACGUGGAUAUUGAGAAUUUUGUUCGUUAUCGGCAGCAAGCUGGAGAAGCUCUGGAAUAUACUAGUAUCUUACAUCUUUUCAACGUGAAUUUCACAGAUGAAGGAAAAUAUCAGUGUAUUGUUACUAAUCACUUUGGUUCUAAUUAUUCUCAGAAAGCCAAACUGACUGUAAAUGAGAUGCCAUCUUUUCUGAAAACGCCAAUGGAUCUGACUAUUCGCACUGGUGCCAUGGCCAGAUUAGAAUGUGCUGCAGAGGGACACCCUGCACCUCAGAUUUCCUGGCAGAAAGAUGGUGGUACUGACUUUCCUGCGGCUCGAGAAAGACGCAUGCACGUCAUGCCCGAGGAUGACGUCUUCUUUAUUGCCAAUGUGAAAAUAGAAGAUAUGGGAAUCUAUAGCUGCAUGGCACAAAAUACAGCAGGAGGUCUCUCAGCAAAUGCUUCCCUAACAGUGUUAGAGACACCCUCAUUUAUUAGACCCCUGGAGGAUAAGACAGUAACCCGAGGUGAAACGGCGGUGUUACAGUGCAUAGCUGGAGGGAGUCCUGCCCCUCGUCUCAACUGGACUAAAGAUGAUGGGCCUUUGCUGGUGACAGAACGACAUUUCUUUGCUGCAGCCAAUCAGCUUCUCAUCAUUGUAGAUGCCGGGCUAGAAGAUGCUGGGAAAUAUACCUGCAUUAUGUCUAACACCCUUGGGACAGAACGUGGCCACAUUUACCUAAAUGUCAUUUCAUCCCCCAACUGUGACUCUUCCCAGAGUAGCAUUGGUCAUGAAGAUGAUGGCUGGACCACAGUUGGCAUUGUCAUCAUUGUUGUGGUCUGCUGUGUUGUUGGCACUUCUUUGAUCUGGGUCAUUGUUAUUUACCACAUGAGAAGGAAAAAUGAAGACUAUAGUAUCACAAACACAGAGGAGCUCAAUCUGCCUGCAGACAUUCCCAGCUACUUGUCUUCCCAAGGAACGCUGUCUGAGCCACAGGAAGGCUACAGCAACUCUGAGGCAGGCAGUCAUCAGCAACUUAUGCCUCCUGCCAAUGGAUAUAUACACAAAGGCACUGAUGGUGGCACUGGUACCCGGGUGAUUUGCUCAGAUUGUUAUGACAAUGCCAACAUCUACUCCAGGACCCGAGAAUACUGUCCAUACACCUAUAUUGCUGAGGAGGACGUUCUUGAUCAGACACUGUCCAGCCUCAUGGUCCAAAUGCCUAAAGAGACAUAUUUAGCACAUCCUCCCCAGGAUACUACUGCCCUAGAGAGCCUGAUAUCAUCAGCCAACAGAGAGCCAUCUGCCUUUCCCACCAACCGUGAAAGGAUAAGUGAGAAGAAACUUCCCUCCACACAGAUGAGCGGUGAAACAUUGCAGCGGCCGGUGUGGAACAUAAACAGAGAACUAGGCCUGCCUCAUCCUCCUUUUUCCCAGCAGCCAGUCCAUGAGUCACCACAACUUCAUCAAAAUGAGGGCCUGGCAGGGAGAGAGCCAGACUGUUCUACUUCUUCCAUGUCCUGCCACAGGUUACAGGAUCAUGCUUUUGAUUUUAGUAGGACUCGGAACAUUCAAGAUGGUAGUGAGGGCACAUGAAACUCACUUGAGGAUGAAAUCUGGGUAGAGACUCAUUAAUUAAUUUUGCAUUUACUACCUCAGAGCUCAGAAGAAACUCCGAUGUCAGCAUUUGCUUUACUCUUUCUUUAUGAUUGCAUCUGACUGCACCAAGGUGGGCCAUGCGUUGUUUGGUCUUAUACCUGAUGAAGAAAUGGCAACAGCUGACAGAAAUGGGUACAGCUCAUCAAAAAUGUGCAGCACUGGCAGAGGGAAGAUACGGGGCAAAUGUGCUUCCUGAUGGUUCCAUGGGGAUGUGCCCUGGUGUGCAUCUGCCUGUCAGGAAGAGUCACAUUGCUGCUUAACAUGCUGGAUUGCCCUAGUCUUCAGAAUGGUCCUGAGAAAACAUCACUACUUUGAUGUUCUACUUUGCCUUCCAAGGAGCAAAAAUAACUUUGGAGCCUUCUGGGAAGUGUGCCUGGGAUUCUUCAGUGGUUUCAGGCAGAUAGUUGAGACUGGGGCUUUGAUAUUCAAGGUCUUUGGCAAGAAUCCCAGGCUUGACCAACUGGUAACCAGGUCAAAGGUUUUUGUAUUCUUGUGAAUUUUUUUUUUGUCCCUAUUGCCCAGGGAUGUCAUUGUAAAUAUAUGUGCAUUUAUAAAUAAUUUUUGUAUUCAUUGACCAUAUGUGUUGGCUGCAGUGUAAAUAUUUUUGAUAUGCCAAAAUUAUAUAUAAUAUCCAGUUAUAAUAUUGACAAGUAGCUUCUCAGAUCACAGAUUUUAAAUAACUCGAUUUAGUGAGAUCUAAAAAUUUUAUUUAAAGUAUAAAAAGGGUGGCUCACACCUGUAAUCCCAGCAUUUUGAGAGGCUAAGGUGGGAGGAUUGCUUGAGGCCAGGAAUUUGAGACCAGGCUGGGCAACAUGGUGAGACCCUGUCUCUGC
rnacentral:sRNA from 1 species